rnacentral:tRNA from 1 species
AGUAGCGUGGCCGAAUGGUCUAAGGCGCUGGUUUUAACCACCAAUCUUAAUGAAGGCGUAGGUUCGGAUCCUAUAGCUGCCA